rnacentral:lncRNA from 1 species
UAGACGUCUUAGUUCCAGAGGAUGGAAUGCUUCACCAGGAGACACAAGAAUAAUUUCCUUGACCUGGGAGUUAAGACUGCCACCCAGCCACCUUGUGCUCUCCAUGCUGCUGAUUCAACAGGCAAAUAAGGAAGUUAUGGUGUGGGCUACAGUGAUUGAUCUGACUAACAAGAGGGAAAUUGCUCCACCAUGGGGGUGAGGGAGAGUACAUCUGGAAUACAGAAGUUCCCUUAGGACACCCUUAGUGUUCCCACACAUUGCGAUUAAGGCCAGUGGAAAACUACAAUAACUCAGUUCAGGCGGAACAACUCAUGGGGCAGAAUCUUCAAGGAAUGAAGAUUUGAGUCCUUCUACCAGGUUUUGCAGAGUGCCUCCAGAAAUAAAAGUGUUACAAAAGAAUCACUUCAGAAAACCUACACUUAGAGAGUCCAUUUGAAAAUUGCCCUAUUUGAAAUGAAGUGGAGAUCAGUAAUAACAAGGACUUCCCCAUAUAACCCAAGAAUCAGAAUCCAUCCUUCUUUUU